CCCCUCCAUUUGGAUCGUUCUCUUUUCCUCAUCUCUGUAGCUCUACAUUGUUCCUGGCAAUAAAGAAAUUUGAUGUGUAUGCCUCCUCGUCACCCACCCUCUCUCUCGCUCACUCUGUUUCCGCGGUUACCAGUCGCGCUGUUUGGUUAUGCAAUGCACCGCGUUCUCAGGCUCCGAGACGGGACCUAUAACCACACAACUGCCAUCGGCUACGGACAGAGAACGGCAGGGUGGGGAGCUCUCUGCUGCAGGUCGCUGAUUUCUUGAGCAUAGCCAGCCUUGGUCUGAAGGUGUCAACACACAUCUGUAGCUUGCUUCUACACCCACGGGAAAAAGAGGAGAGCAAGAAGGAGGGAAGGCAAUUGCAGAGGAGGCAAAUCAGAGAGAAGGAACGUUUGGCCAACUGGCCCUUGUGUUGCCGCCAGCCAAGAUAUGCCUCUCCUAUGAUGAGCCCACAGCAUGCUGGAUCUUCCCCAUGACCUCCCAUGCAGUAGGAUAAGCAUCCUGGAGUCAGAGGUGGGGGGCCAGAAUGGGGACGACCACCGUCAGUAUAGAGGAGGUUCGGGCGCAGGAGGGUAAAGAAGAACGAGAGGAGUCCAUCUUGGCCUUGCUGGGGAUCAUCGGCACCUUUCUGAACCUUUUUGUCAUCGUUUUUGUUUACAUCUACACCACUCUGUGAGGAGGAGGAUCACGUGGCGGGGGCAGGUGGAGGUAAGGGGAGGGGUCAAAAGUAGAUAUGACAGAGGGGUCGACGUCUCACAGAGAGGAACAUGGAAGAUGACACUAGGCCGGUCAGGACAGGGAAAGUGACACUUGCCCCGUGACCACUAAUUUAAGGGCAGAUGUAUCAAUGCAUUCAGCUGGACUCUAGGACAGCAGACUUUUCAAAACGAAUGGACAUCCAUUAAUACAGAUUUCUGGACACUAGGAGAAUGGUCCUUGGAUACGCCAGAUUCGUAACCUCACAGGACAUGGUCAAGGGCCAAGGGACCUUACGUUUCCCCGGCAACGGGAGUAACACUGAGCACUGCCUGGCUUCAUACAAGGUUACACAUAUGCAGAAGGACCAUAAUGAACAAACACAGAGUGCCACAUGCCAAUGGAAUGGUUCCUUUCAUAUUAGGCAUCGUAUCGACUAAUAGAUAAAGGCUCUGCAAUAACAUGGAACAAUGGAAAAAUUUCAUUAUGAAAUAUUUUUCUAUUAAAAUAAAAGAGAGAAUGAGACUCUUUGGGAUGGUGGACCAAUUUACAAGUUCUCAUAGCUGGAACUCGUGGGGGCUUGCUACAGUUCGGUGACAUUUGGAAAAGUAGACCGAGCCACUCUUUUUCAUUACAGUUCCUCCCUUGUUCUGACAGGUGGAAGGAAGAUAAACAAAACAAUACAAAUAUGAGUGUGAGUUUUCUCUCUGAUUUAAGGGCAUUGUCAGACACAACGUUUCUGUGCAAAGUAAAAGCUUUUGCACCAAUACUUGAUUACAUAUUAGAUGUACUGUGCCAUAGGAAAUCUGAUCAAUAAAAUUAUAUUCUAUGGAUUGGGAUGUC